rnacentral:rRNA from 1 species
GACUCUCGGCAACGGAUAUCUCGGCUCUUGCAUCGAUGAAGAACGUAGCGAAAUGCGAUACUUGGUGUGAAUUACAGAAUCCCGUGAACAAUCGAGUCUUUGAACGCAAGUUGCGCCCGAAGCCACUAGGCCGAGGGUACGGCUGCCUGGGUGUC